rnacentral:rRNA from 1 species
AGCUCCAAUAGCGUAUAUUAAAGUUGUUGCAGUUAAAAAGCUCGUAGUUGAAUUUCUGGUGAGCGAGAGCGGUCCGAUCAAUGAUUGGUGCUUGCUUUCGCUGGCCAUCCUUGGGUUUAGCCAGUCUGGCAUUAAGUUGUCGGGCUGGGGAUGCCCAUCGUUUACUGUGAAAAAAUUAGAGUGUUCAAAGCAGACUUAUGUCGUUGAAUAUAUUAGCAUGGAAUAAUAAGAUAGGACUACAGUGCUAUUUUGUUGGUUUGCGCACCGUGGUAAUGAUGAAUAGGGACAGUUGUGGGUAUUCGUAUUCACUUGUAAGAGGUGAAAUUCUUAGAUUAAGGGAAGACGAACUACUGCGAAAGCAUUUACCAAGGAUGUUUUCA